UUGUCUCAAAGAUUAAGCCAUGCAUGUCUCAGUACAAGCCGAAUUAAGGUGAAACCGCGAAAGGCUCAUUAAAUCAGUUAUGGUUCCUUAGAUCGUACACACAUUUACUUGGAUAACUGUGGUAAUUCUAGAGCUAAUACAUGCAAACAGAGCUCCGACCGGAGACGGAAGGAGCGCUUUUAUUAGAUCAAAACCAAUCGGUGGCGAUUUCGGUCGUCAUCGUACAACUUGGUGACUCUGAAUAACUUUACGCUGAUCGCACGGUCUCGCACCGGCGACGCAUCUUUCAAAUGUCUGCCUUAUCAACUGUCGAUGGUAGGUUCUGCGCCUACCAUGGUUGUAACGGGUAACGGGGAAUCAGGGUUCGAUUCCGGAGAGGGAGCCUGAGAAACGGCUACCACAUCCAAGGAAGGCAGCAGGCGCGCAAAUUACCCACUCCCGGCACGGGGAGGUAGUGACGAAAAAUAACGAUACGGGACUCAUCCGAGGCCCCGUAAUCGGAAUGAGUACACUCUAAACCCUUUAACGAGGAUCAAUUGGAGGGCAAGUCUGGUGCCAGCAGCCGCGGUAAUUCCAGCUCCAAUAGCGUAUAUUAAAGUUGUUGCGGUUAAAAAGCUCGUAGUCGAAUCUGUGUCCCGCGCCGCCGGUUCAUCGUUCGCGGUGUCAACUGGCGUGCCGCGGGACGUCCUGCCGGUGGGCUUAGCUCGAGAGGGCGGCCCAACUCAAUCCCGCCGCGGUGCUCUUCAUUGAGUGUCGAGGUGGGCCGGCACGUUUACUUUGAACAAAUUAGAGUGCUUAAAGCAGGCUAAAACUUCGCCUGAAUACUGUGUGCAUGGAAUAAUGGAAUAGGACCUCGGUUCUAUUUUGUUGGUUUUCUGAACCCCGAGGUAAUGAUUAAUAGGAACGGAUGGGGGCAUUCGUAUUGCGACGUUAGAGGUGAAAUUCUUGGAUCGUCGCAAGACGGACAGAAGCGAAAGCAUUUGCCAAAAACGUUUUCAUUGAUCAAGAACGAAAGUUAGAGGUUCGAAGGCGAUCAGAUACCGCCCUAGUUCUAACCAUAAACGAUGCCAGCUAGCGAUCCGCCGACGUUCCUCCGAUGACUCGGCGGGCAGCUUCCGGGAAACCAAAGCUUUUGGGUUCCGGGGGAAGUAUGGUUGCAAAGCUGAAACUUAAAGGAAUUGACGGAAGGGCACCACCAGGAGUGGAGCCUGCGGCUUAAUU
rnacentral:rRNA from 2 species